UGCCAGCAGCCGCGGUAAUACGGAGGGUGCAAGCGUUGUUCGGAAUUAUUGGGCGUAAAGCGCGUGUAGGCGGUUCGUUAAGUCUGAUGUGAAAGCCCGGGGCUCAACCCCGGAAGUGCAUUGGAAACUGGCGAACUUGAGUACGGGAGAGGAAAGUGGAAUUCCGAGUGUAGAGGUGAAAUUCGUAGAUAUUGGGAAGAACACCAGUGGCGAAGGCGGCUUUCUGGACCAAUACUGACGCUGAGAUGCAAAAGCGUGGGGAGCGAACAGGAUUAGAUA
rnacentral:rRNA from 1 species